rnacentral:lncRNA from 1 species
UCUCUCUUCCUCUUCUCCUUUAGAAAAAUCCCACCGAAGCCGCCUCUGUCUGUGAAGUUUCUUCCCAAAAUUUCAAGGACAGAUUCACACCUUUUUCUCUCUGAUUCGUUCUAUAUUCAAGAGGAAAACGUUGGUCUAUCUAUAGGCCAACGCAGAGAGGAUUUAAGAGGAGUAAUGACUGUCUUUACGAAUCCAUACGUUAUAAAUUCAUAACGUUCGUUUCGAAAACAAACGUGGGGAAAAAACAGUAAAUCCAUCCGAUAACAGCCGGAUUUCAAAAAUCAAAUUUAACCGGAAUGUAGCCGGUUCAAAACCGGACAUUCCGGUCCAGACGGCAGAGCGGCCGGAGGCCAGACGGUGGCACGGUGUGGAGACGAAGCCGGGAGGAAGAAGGCUCUGUUUUCUCCUCCCAGGCUUUUCUCCAUCGCGGUUCACAAAAAAAUCCUUAAGGGUCCAUGAGGGGGAGUGGUCCACGGGUCCAUGGGAGUUUAAAAACAAGUCAGCCGUAACCAUUUAAAUGGGAUUAGUCAAAUAAAAAAUGGGUUAGCCCAUUUUGAAAUAAAGCAAGCCUAUUUGGUUCUAAACCAAAUUGAUAGCCCAUUUGAAUGAUUUUUGA